rnacentral:lncRNA from 1 species
AUAGCCAGACUAUAUGCUUUUGUAGGGAUAACUUUCUUUUGGCCUUGUUAUUUUGAAAGUUCAUGAUUACCUUGCUAGUUUGCUUGAAUUAUUAUUGUUUCCACGUCAAUAGCAAACUAUUGUUUUGAAUCUAACGGAUCUAAACAUUCAUGUCACGUGAGAGAAGUUACAAAGGACAACUAUGCUAGGUAGCAUGCAACAUCAAAAAUUCAUUCUUUAUCACUUCCCUACUCGAGGACGAGCUAGAGUUAAGCUUGGGGAUGCUUGAUACGUCUCCAACGUAUCUAUAAUUUUUUAUGGUUCCAUUCUAUUAUCUUG